CAUCCCCCCAUGCCAACAUUGCCACCAUUGUGAACACACAUAUGAACACCAAGGCCUGGUGCCUCUCUCUUUGCUACCACUAGCACGGACACAUGUACAGAUGCCAAAAACUGCCACCACUGCAAACACACCCUCAGAGGCUGGCUGUGGAGAAUGGCUUGAUGAAAUUGGGUCAAAGUGUUCUUCCAGAAUCGCCGUUCCAUCUUCUUAACUCAGAAAGUCAUCCAAGGUUAUUGCCACGCCGUAGACUGAAAAUCCCCUGGAAGCACAAAGCUGAAGCAAUAUGAGGGUUCACAUCAUGUUCA
rnacentral:lncRNA from 1 species